rnacentral:lncRNA from 1 species
CUUCUUCUUCCUAGCAUGACAUCUCCUCUUCUCCCUCAUUUUUUUCUUCUCCCUUCAGUUGUGGUCACCGCUCCAUCACGACAAGGACGACCGCUGCUGCUGGACACUGAAAGACACCAGAAAUCGAUGCCGAAGGCCCCUUUCGCACAUGUACGGUCCCUAUCAUCCCUUCCCUCAUUUUUUUUUUUUAAAUUUCAGUCAGGUUUUAAGUUUGUUUGGUGUUUUUUUUUUUUAUAUAUAUAUAUAUAUACCAUGUAUGUUUUGCAAUUUGCGUUAGAUUAUUCAUUUCAGUAUUUUAAUUUUUUUUUUUAGGGUUUGUGAUUAAUGUUUGUUUAGUUUUGGUAAUUUAGUUUUAUUUAGGUUUGUUAAUUAGUUUAUUUUAUUGAUUACUAGUAUUCAAGAACGUGCGAUGCACUUUGUUACUUUUUUGAACAUAACUGUUAGAAUAAUUAUUUAUAGUUUAUUUUUUUAUAUAUUUUAUUAAUUUUUACAAAGACAAUAUAAAAAUUCAAUAUUUUCAAUUAUAAUUAUUACAUGUAUAAAAAUGUGUGUAAACCACUAUCAUACAUAUCUAGCAUUUGAUGAAAAAUUUUAAUAAUUUUUUAUAUUAGAUUUUUUGACAAAAUAGAAUAGUUACAAAGUUGAAAAUAAAUAACCAUUUGAUCCAAGAUCUCACUAAAUAUAAAACUAACUACAUAUAUAAAUUAUUGGUAAUCAAAGUCAAAAUUUUUUUGUGAUAGUAUACCAAAAUAAAAAAAAAAAAAAUCAAAAGUUUAAAUUAUUACCUCAGCCGUUAAUGAUAAUAAAAUGAGAAGUUUUCAAUAUAGCUAUUUGAUCAUUUGAACAGAUAAAAAGAAAUAAUCUAGUUUCUCAACACCAUUUUGAUAAGACUUGCAAUUUAUCAUCCCAUAAAUUAGCAUCAAUUUAAUUCAUUGCUUGAUAAAUGAAAUCACCAAUAAAAAUUCUGUAAUGCACUCCUAUGUAUAACUAUCUGGUAGUAAAGUGAUCAAGGUAAACUAUAAAAUUUCAUAUCAACAUAUAAAAGAAGAUUAAUGGUGCAGUAGACGAAAGAAAAGACCUUCUCCAAAAUUCUUAAACUAAAUCAGAAGCAAGGUAGCAUUGUUUAAGUUGGGAUGUUCCAGUUGGAAGUUUAAAACUAGAUGACUGUUUGAUCCAGUUAAUUACCAUUCUGUGUUCUUAACACAGUGUAAGAUAAGGGACAACUUCUUCAAAUGGAUCUAAUGGUGUCUCACUGUAUUGGAAACAAACUUGAUACUGAGUAUAUGGGCAUUACUUUUAAAAAAAAUUGCAACAGUUACUUUGGAUUAAUGAAAAUGGCUGCAAAUUCAAAACUAAUCCCAAAGAUAUUCUUAUAUUUUAUAAAUAAUAUUAAUGAUACAGAGUAUUUUUUUUUUUAUAAUUAUUAAUGAUAUUUUUUUAUAUUUUAUAAAUAAUAUCAUAAAUACUCUUUAAAAUAAUAAAAUUUUUGAGUUCUUUUAAUAAUUAAUGAAAUUUAUCUUCUCAAGUAAAAUAUAAUUAAUGAAAUUAAUGUAUAAUAUCAUUAAUAUUAUUUUAAAUUUUAAAUAAUAAAAAAAAUAACAAUAUCGUUAAUAUUCACUAGUAAAAUCAUUUCAAGAAACCAAAUUAUGGAAACAACCAUCAUGAUAUAGUAUGAGAUUAGGGAAAAAAAUGGGAUGGGCAUCCAGAAAAUAUUCACUAUAUGUACCUAAACCGGUCUAAAAUUUUGAUAAUUACACACAUUUCAAACCUUUUUAAAAUUCCUUUUUAAAUACUCAUACUCAAGUCCACUUAAAAUGUUAAUACCGGCACUCAUUCCACACCCCUUUAAUAAUAUCCAAAUUCGAUAUAAAUGGAUUGGAAUUGAUAAUUAUAAGUACAUAUAAAAUUCACUCUCUUUAUGCGAGUCAAUUGUAUAUAAGAUAACGCUAGUGAAAAAUAUAAAAAAAUUAAAAUAAAAUUUAAAUUCAUAAAUAUCAAAAUUUAUUAAUAAAUUAAAAAAAUAUAAAAAUAUUUUAAGUCAUAUUUUAAUAGCAUCCAAAUUUUAUUAUUAUUUUGAACUCAGUAUGCAAUUAAAUUUUUAUCUAAAAUAUUAUAUAAAAAAUUUUAAAUUAUAUAAUUAAUAAGAUUUUCAUGGGUGGUGGGUAUCCGGAACUUUUAAACCCAUAGUGAAGAAUUAACUUAAUACUCAUUCCUGUCACAAACUUAUUUAAUACCCAAACAUACUUAUAAUGAGUUUUUGUAGGUCAAUUAUCCAUAAAAUCUCCGCCGCUUCCAUAUCCUUGAGACAGGUAAAUAAAUUAAUGUCAACUACAUAAAUCCAUCCAUCAAUUUGAUAAAAAAAAAAAUUAUGGCACUAUCAAUUCUAAAUCUGACAUAUAUAAUUUCCUUAACGGGUUUAUUCAUCAAAUCUCAAUUUAGAGAUCAUGUUGUCUUACCUAAAAUUUAAUUUGGCACACAAAAUUUAUCAACUUCAAUUAGUAUUUCAAUUAAAGAAUAAUGAUGUGAAAUGUCGUACAAAUACAACACAUACAUUAAACUAAAAAAAUUAAAAUUUUGCAUGAAUAAACUGUGAAAAUGUUAAAUACAAGUGCUAAAAUGUUAACAAUGCAUUAAAAAAGAUAAGUAACAUUAGCAACGGAUUUAAAUAUUUGCUGUUCCAUUAUUAAUCCGUUGCUUACAUUCGUGCCAAAUCUGUCUUUUAAAUUAGUAACGGAACAAUAUCCCUUUCUACCAUCUGUUACUAAUCCUUUGCUAAGCUGUUGCUAAUAUCUGCGCCAAAAUUCCGCACAUAUAUUAGCAACGGAUAACUAUUCUAUUGCUAAUAACCAAUGCUAAUCUGUUGCUAAACCCUGACUAAUAAUGGCACCAAAAUUUCCCGCGGCUAUGAGCAAUGGAUAAUAAAUUGGUUUAUAAUAUCUAUUGCUAAUCCGUUGCUAAAACCUGGCUAAUACUGGUGCCAAAAUUUCCCUUGAAUCUUGCAACGGAUUAUACUUGCUUGCCAAUUAUUUGUCUGUUGCACUUCCGUUGCUAAACUCUAAAAGUGGUGCUAACUUCAAAUCCCUUUCCAAUCCGUGGCUAAUUAGCACAGACAGAGUCCGUUGCUAAUGGUUCGCUGCUAAAAUGCAUUUUUCUUGUACUCGCUCUAAAACCUUUCUCUACGCUUCUGACUAUAGUCUCAUGAACUUAUUCCCCAAGAAUUCUCUCUCAAUCGUGAAAAUCUAUUUCAACAGGUACUUUUCUUUGUUCUUUUGUUUAACUUUCUUUUAAUGAAAAUUUAUAUUUGUAAGUUGAUUGAUGCAAAAAUCUCACUGGAUCAAAUAAUAGUUAUUCAUUAUUUUUCUUUUGUCAUUUUUUUUGAAAAAAAAAAUUAUGUUUGAAUUUUUCUUUUGGGUUAUAUGUAUUAUUUGGAGAUUAAUUGUUUAUUUAAUUGAGGAGGUUAGAUGGAAAAAAUCUGAAGAGAUAUACUUUUCAGGAUGACGAAGAGGUUGAAAUCAAACUCUUGAAAUAUAGUGUUUGCAUGUUUGAGGGUUUGGUUCUGAAUUUGAACGUUUCGUAAAUCUUUUUUUUUUUUUUUUCUUUCUCUUUUUAGUUGGGUUUUGUGUUUGAGGUGAGGUUAUGAGAAUAGAAUUAUUUUUUUAGUUUAUGUUCAAUAAUGCAAUAGACCAAACUUUUGGAUUGGACAAGUUCUUGUCUUAAACUUUCUACUUUUACUAUUUAUUUGUUUAAUUCAAUGAUUGAGCUUGAUUUUUGAGAAUUAUAAUGUUAUAUUUUACAAUUGUGGAGAGCAAAGAGCAGAGUUUCCUCUACAGGUCCAAUAAUUUUUGCUUCUUUUUAGUAUCUUGGUUUUAAAUGCUUCAUAAUGUGCAAAAGGAAGUCAUUUUGUGAAUUCAAUAUGUCAAUCUCUUUUUUACCUACAACUAAAUGGUAAAUAUAUUUGUUUCUAUAAAAAUCACGUAAUGUACCUUAGCGGGGAAUAUCAAGACAUCUCAAGAAUAAUUCUAUAUUGUGAAUUGUCAUAAUGACCACGACGUAGUUAGACACAACCUAUAGGGAUUACAAUAGUGUUAAGCAUAGCCAAAGAAAAAAGAAAGAAAAUUUAAAGCCUUUCAUGAACUAAAUCUGUAUGCUUAUUUUGUGUCUAAUUAACUUGAUGUAGCUAACAUUACCAAUAUUGCUGCUCUUGCUGAUUUCGACAAAACCUAAUUCGCGAAGCUUGGCAUCUUCAUAUGUAGAAAAUAUUUAAACUUAUUUUUUUUGUUCAUUCUUCAACUUUUUUUUUGUAUAAUUUUAAUUUGUUUACUGUUCAAAUUUCUUAAGUAAAUAUAAUGGAAAUAAUUUUAUAAGAUCCUUAUAAGUGGAAUGACGAAUGUUACACUUCUUUGCAGGUGAAUAAUGGAGAUGUCAGUGGAAUUAUGCUUAAUGGUGAUGCUUUAAUAGCAUUUGAUUUUGUUUAGGUGAGUUUUUUUCUAUUAAAUGCAAAACAUAUUCUACGAAACUCGAAGUAAUUGAAAAUCAUAAUUGGAGGUAGAAGUAAGCUGUGGUUUAAGUUUGCUUUUUUGAUGUAGGAAACUCUAAAUGUUGAUUGACCAGAUUGGAUAAAAUAAUAGUAACUCAAAUUUAUCAGUUACCUAAAGAAUGCCUUACAUGAAACAAUUACGGUGCAAAAAGAAUAACUACACUAGAUUGUGAUUCUACAAUGAAUGCCUACACAAGGAUAUUAGCCAAGAAAUUGUCAACAUCUUUUCUCAUCAAUUGUGUUUGCUCAGCGAUGACAAAUCUACUCUACAACAUUGGAAAAUUAUCUAUUGCAUAAAUGAGUGAAUUUUGUACAAGUACUUAUCUGAAUUUUGCAAUAUGUAUUGAUAAUUUGAUAUGAGGAUAAAGUGGCCAAUUUCAAUUUAUGAUAUGAAAAUUGGAAAAGUCAUUGGUUUAGCAUUUAUAUAACGAUCAAAAUCAUUGGUUUAGCAUUUAUAUAACGAUCAAAAUCUUCAACAAAGCAUGGGUAACCUUCAGUUGUAUAUACUAAAAACAUACUAGGAAU